ensembl:lncRNA
UCUUUCUCUGGAGAUCGCUCCUCUUGGAGCUCUUUGGUGAGCCUGGGACAUGGGUAUUGUGCUAUUUAUGGUUUGCCCUUCGGAAGACUCUGAAACUUAAUGAUGCAGUGCAGCAAAGGUAGUGCUGAAUCAGAGCUACUCUGUAAUCAUUCAUCAGGUUCAGAAGAAGAGUGUUCUUUGCAGUGGAAACAUGCUGUGCCCGAGCUCCAGGAGGGAUGUUACUGGCUGAUACGUGAAUGUUCUUCCAGGACAGUACUGCAUAAGAAAUGGCAAGAAGAAAUAAACAAUUUGCUGCUCUUGGCACUUUAGUUCCAGCUGAAAGGGAUUGGAAAGACUAUUUCAUUGCACAAAGGUCUAUCUUCCCACUGCAACUUCUUACAGGCUGACAAAUGCAUAUAAAUAAAGAUGCUGAAGCAACAUGUAGGUUAUUCCCUUUUUCCACGAAUCCCAGAGAGUGUGUAGUUCUGAGGGAGCGUCUUAGUGCUCAGUACACUUCAUGAAAUGGCUAUUUAGACUGUGAGCAUAUAAGCUGUGGCAUCAUUCCUCAAUUAUUUUUAUCAGCAUUAAGAGGAAAAAUAAACCUAGGGUCACAAAUCAUGCAAGUUCAAGCAUAGUAGCAGUAGCUACGAAAUCUACACUGGGCCAGAUCUUACUCAGAGUUAAAAACAGCCCCCUCUGCCAAAUCACUGUACAACUGGAAGUCACAGAGAAAUAUACAGAAGAUGGUAUUUUAAAGUCCUUAGAUCAGUGUUGUAGAAAAAAGGAGGCAAUGUUGGCUCAAACAGAUUGUUCUAUCUGAAUGACUUUGCAAAGAGAUUUGUGUGGGUGGUUAUAUCUAGCCUAGAGAUUCCUGAGGAACUCUCACUGAAGGAAGAAUGGAGUAUUUUACCUGUACUCAGUCUUAAGGAACCUGUCUCUAGUAAAAUAAUAGAGCUUGGCUCUCUGAAGAGUCUCUUACAGAUGUUGACCAGAUGAACUAAGAAACGAUGCAAGAAAGCAAGAGACUAAUGACUUGUUGCCAUUUGCAGAAGAAUGCAUUCAGAAACUGCUUUCUCUUUGGUAAAAUUUCUUCAAAGUUACAAAAGUUGUGUAGAAAGACAAAAGACUUGCUUUGGAUUCAGGGUUGUGAUUUGAAGGCUUAUGCUACUCCAGAACACAGUGUUUGCCAGCUGCCUUCCUCACAUUGUUAUGUGGCCAAAAAUAUGUACUUGGACCUCCCAUUGCUCUGAAGAAUGGGAACAGGGAACCUGGAGAUAUGUACCUGGGUGCUACAUGCUGUAUCAGUAAUACUUCCCUGUGAUGGGACUGGGAAGCAGCAGCAUAGUAAUGUUAUAGGUAAAAGGAUUUAUUUACUCCCUUUUACUAUCUGCCAGUGUCUUAAUAUCCAGCAGCAUUAAGAACAGAAAUGCAUGAUGUAGUUGACUUAAACGCCAUCUGGUAGGUAGCUUCUUGACUGCAAGACGGAUAUGCAGAAGUUAAAGCUUCCAUGGCCAUAAGGAAUAUUCAACAGAAGCGUAGUGAAUAAAUAGCUCAUUUAAGGCCUUAUGGCAUCCUAAAUAUAUGUGAGGAGAAGACUGGAGAAGUACAAUAGGCUAAAUAGCAGCCUUCUGUGCCCAAUGUAAAAUUCUUAAAAUCAAUUAAAAAGCAUUUAUAAGACUUUUUUUUCCCAUGUCAGAAUUGCAAGACUGUACUGAAGGAAGCAAGCUACAGGGCUCUGAAUCAGAUUCACCCAAGGAAUAAUAAUAGCAUGUGGGAACUCUGGAAAUAAAGAAUGAUGGUAAUUUAGCCCUCAGAGGAAUAAAAAAGGGAGGAGAGAGAGAGGAGAAAAAAAACCCAAAACUAGACAAAGAAGACAUUUACCAAUAGUUCUAUAUCCUUUGUACUGAGGGACAAUUUUCCCAGGCAAACUCUCACAAAUGAUACACUUAUGCUUUGGAAAUUGUUCUGGAGACCAUUGUCCCUUUAAAGAGAGAUCCCGUUCAGGGCAUUUGCUUCCACAUUAGUGCUUCUUAUGCAAAUGAAGAAAUCUUUAGUUUUUGUAGUGGAACCUGGGGAGUCUGUUUUAUAGUCAGAACAAAUGCAGGAGGGAAUCCUUAAUGCUCACCACACCAGCUGUUCCGUAUGGUUCUUUUUCUGUUACCAAAAUACCUUUUUCUGAGUAUUGGGAAGAGGCUGAGCUGUCUGCUGAGCAGUGCUGGGAGUAGAGACAUCCCAAAGGCAGAGUCAUGUAUGGCUGUGUCAGAGCCUGGAACGCAGUUCUUGUGUAGUAGGUCCCUAAUAGAACUUCAGGUGGGUUAAUUGGUACUUUCUCAUUGACUUACCCCAGUCCCAGACAACAGUGAUAAAGCCACUUUUCUCACAAGGGUACUAUAAUGACUAAUGCUUUCUGAAGUGUUAAAUAUGAGAAAGGUGAGGUGUGUAGCAAAGAAAAUAGAUGCUUGCUGGUUUGAAAUGCAUUGUGUGCAGUCUGUGCUUAUUUAGCUGUGGUAAAUGAGCUGUAGCAUAUUAUAGAGAAGACCUGAACCUACAUCUUUUACAUUAUUAAAGUUAUGGGUUUCUGGCUUUUCCCCCUAACCUUCUAAUAUGCUGUUGUUAUGGCAACAGUGUUUCUAUCAAGUGAUUCAUAUGAACUACACCUUUUUUGUACUUCUACCUGUUUUGGCAGUCUCAAGGUACUUAAAUGCGUCAGUUCUUGAGUUGUCUUUUUCAACCAGAGGGAAUUUCGUUAUAGAUUUCGAGCUGAACUAUCCCUCUUUCCCUGCUCAAAGGGUGCUUUGACAAAAUCAUCAUUUCUGCAAAAUGUUGUGGUUUUUUUUAACAUAUCUUACAAACUGGAAUUCUUUAUCUCCUGUUGAGUGCCCAAAGGGCUGGACAAACAGGCCUUUGCAGAAACUUUUAAUUACCACGGAUGGGUGAAACUGGUAUUAAAUUCAUACAUA